rnacentral:rRNA from 1 species
AGAGUUUGAUCCUGGCUCAGAUUGAACGCUGGCGGCAUGCUUUACACAUGCAAGUCGAACGGUAACGCGGGGGCAACCCUGGCGACGAGUGGCGAACGGGUGAGUAAUACAUCGGAACAUGUCCUGGAGUGGGGGAUAGCUCGGCGAAAGCCGGAUUAAUACCGCAUACGCUCUGAGGAGGAAAGCGGGGGACCUUCGGGCCUCGCGCUGCAGGAGUGGCCGAUGUCGGAUUAGCUAGUUGGUGGGGUAGAGGCCCACCAAGGCGACGAUCCGUAGCUGGUCUGAGAGGAUGAUCAGCCACACUGGGACUGAGACACGGCCCAGACUCCUACGGGAGGCAGCAGUGGGGAAUUUUGGACAAUGGGGGCAACCCUGAUCCAGCCAUGCCGCGUGAGUGAAGAAGGCCUUCGGGUUGUAAAGCUCUUUCGGACGGAACGAAACGGCCGGCGUGAAUAACGCCGGUUACUGACGGUACCGUAAGAAGAAGCACCGGCUAACUACGUGCCAGCAGCCGCGGUAAUACGUAGGGUGCGAGCGUUAAUCGGAAUUACUGGGCGUAAAGCGUGCGCAGGCGGUUCGCCAAGUCAGGUGUGAAAUCCCCGGGCUUAACCUGGGAAUUGCGCUUGAAACUAGCGGGCUUGAGUGUGGCAGAGGGGGGUGGAAUUCCACGUGUAGCAGUGAAAUGCGUAGAGAUGUGGAGGAACACCGAUGGCGAAAGCAGCCCCCUGGGUCAACACUGACGCUCAUGCACGAAAGCGUGGGGAGCAAACAGGAUUAGAUAC